CAAGUGCUGGUGCAGUGGAAACAAGUGUGAGGGGAACAUUUCUUCUGAAGGUAGAGGGCUAAGUCCAGAAGGGACAGUGAGCUCAGGUCACUACUCCUCUCAUCUUGGUAAGAAAAAGCUCUAAGGGAAUUAUAGAGGAGGCCUGCCCUUCCCGUGGUGGCACUGAAGCGCUGGGCUGUAGUUGAAGCCCCCCAGUGCCAGCCUGUUGUGCCAGGGACCUGUGCUGCAUGAAAGCUCUGGUCUCCAGCCCUAUUUGUUGAAGACUCCUCAAGUCUCGUUCAGAAAACAUUAUUUCCUCAGAAGACAUUCUGCAUGGUUUAUAUCAACAACCAUGUGGUGGCUUAUGCAAGGUAUGAGAGUGGCAUCAUCUCCACAGGAACUAAGACCUGUGUAAGAAAUGUCCGUGUUGUGUGUGUGAUUUAUUUUAGAUGUUCUCCUUGAGAUGUUAUGGACCCAGCAUUUGGGACCAUCUGGCAUUGUUUGGCACUUUCUCGAAUCAAAAGCCAGUAACCCAAGGCAAGCCUGGUGGGAAGGGUUCAUUCUCAAAUUCUUUUUGGGACUGAAAACACAGAAAACAAAGGGUUCCUAGUCUCAGUUCUCCUGCCUUCACCCAGGAUAGUCAAGAGAGUAGAGGAACUGCAUUUAAAUGGAAGGGCUUAAACAGCUCUAAGAUGGACCACAUUUUCAGAAAAUAAAGGUAAAAGUUGUUAGCAUGUUUCUACUGAGCAUAUGCAACAUAUAUUUUUUCAGACAUUUGUAACUUGAAAAUAUGAAAAGGCACGUUGCAUGCCAAACUGCAAUUCCUUCCUCAUGAUGAUGGUGACAUUGCGACCUUUACAUAAUUUUCAAUGUGAAAAACCCACUUUGUCCCAUAGUGUUAUUCUGCAGUGCCUGAUCUCCCACAGCUGACAUGAAAAGAAAUACACUUCUCCCUAUCCAAAGCCCCUGAUUAAAUCAAACUGAAGUCAGAGAAUGAAAAAUUUCAGACCAUCUGUUCAAAGUUAUAAACAAUUGAAACCAAGGUAUUUUUCUGGCCAGAGCAAUCAAGCAUAUCUACAGUAAUUAGAUUUAGUUAUGUUUUUUUAAGCCGUGUUCUUUUUUAUCCCUAUACAAAUUUAUUUGUGAUCUAGAGCUCCAAAUACACUGGAAAAGGCAAAACAAACAAACACAAAAAUUCUCUUCCUGCAAAGAUGAACAGGAAGAAAAUACGCUUCCAGAGUCAGAAACAAGGGUACUGUUCACAGCAAGAAAAAGAGCACCAUAUCUGCAUCUGCUUACAGAAAUUACAUUCAGAUGGCAGGGGGUUCAUUGCCACCCUUGGCAGCAAAUUACUUUCAUCCCCCAUCCCUAGCUCUUUGACG